UGGGGAAUAUUGCGCAAUGGGCGAAAGCCUGACGCAGCGACGCCGCGUGAGGGAUGAAGGUUUUCGGAUCGUAAACCUCUGUCAGAAGGGAAGAAACCGCACUGUGCUAAUCAGCAGUGCCUUGACGGUACCUUCAAAGGAAGCACCGGCUAACUCCGUGCCAGCAGCCGCGGUAAUACGGAGGGUGCAAGCGUUAAUCGGAAUUACUGGGCGUAAAGCGCACGUAGGCUGCUUUGUAAGUCAGGGGUGAAAUCCCACAGCUCAACCGUGGAACUGCCUUUGAUACUGCUUAGCUUGAAUCCGGGAGAGGGUGGCGGAAUUCCAGGUGUAGGAGUGAAAUCCGUAGAUAUCUGGAGGAACAUCAGUGGCGAAGGCGGCCACCUGGACCGGUAUUGACGCUGAGGUGUGAAAGCGUGGGGAGCAAACAGG
rnacentral:rRNA from 1 species